GAGUGGGCUGCAACCUCACAGGGGGCUGGAAUGAUGUCGGCAAAUCCUCAGUCAUUUCUUCCCCUUUGCGAUGGAGUGGAAGUGAUUCAGGGCCCAAUCGCCUUUGAGGACAUGGCUGUCCAUUUCUCCCUGGAGGAGUGGGUUCUCCUGAAUCCUGGUCAGAAAGCCUUGCACGUGCAGAUCAUGGAGGAGCUUCAUGGAAUGGUGGACUCUCUUGCAGAUAAUGGAGAGAAGAGCAAUAUAUGCCCCAAACACAGGAAGCAUUUGGGACACAACUGGGGCCUUCCUAGAUACCAUCAAAACCACAGUAGAGAUGAAGAUUGUGCCAGAGAAUGUGGCCAAUGUUUUACCCAAAAUGUACCAGAAUUUGGGAAGUGUUUUACUCUGAAUACACACCUUAUAGAGUGGUGGGGAUCCCACACAGGAGAGAAACCAUACAAAUGCAAGGAAGGUGGGAAAUGUUUUGUUCAAAGUCCAUCCCUUGUGAGCCACAAGGGAGUACACACUGGAGAAAACCCAUACAGAUGCCCAGAUUGUGAGAAAUGUUUUGCUUACAGUUCACACUUCAUUAGGCACAAAAGACUCCACACAGGAGAGAAGCCAUACCAAUGCCAGGAGUGUGGGAAAUGUUUUGCUUGCAGUUCGGACUUCAUGAGGCACAGAAGGAUCCACACAGGAGAGAAGCCAUACCAAUGCCAGGAGUGUGGGAAAUGUUUUGCUUACAGUUCAGUCUUGGUGAGGCACAGAAGACUUCACACAGGACAGAAGCCAUACCAAUGCCAGGAGUGUGAGAAAUGUUUUGCUUCCAGUUCAGCCUUGGUGAACCACAGAAGACUCCACACAGGGGAGAAACCAUACGAAUGCCAGGAGUGUGGGAAACGUUUUGCUGUCAGUUCAGACUUGGUGAACCACAAAAGACUUCACACAGGAGAGAAGCCAUACCAAUGCCAGGAGUGUGGGAAAUGUUUUGUUUAUAGUUCAGACUUGGUGAGACACAAAAGACUCCACACAGGAGAGAAGCCUUACCAAUGCCAGGAGUGUGAGAAAAGUUUUACUUACCGUUCAAACUUGGUGAGGCACAAAAGAUUCCACACAGGAGAGAAGCCUUACUAAUGCCAGAAGUGUGAGAAAUGUUAUCCUUGCAAGUCAUACUUCUGAGACACCAGAGCAUCCACACAGGAAAGAAACCAAAUGCCAGUGUGGAAAAUGUUUUACUCAAAGUUCAUUCCUUUUGAGCCACCAGAGAAUGCAUAGAGGAGAAAAACCAUCCAAAGAGCUUGGACAAAAGUAGUAAAAUUAAUCACAACAGGGAAUUUGCAAAUUUUGGACAUUCUGGUGCUGUAGACUAUACAUUCAACAUUUUCCGAAGAACCUGUGUGAUUCCCUUGACUCCAAGUAGCACUUGGCAUGACUUUGGACUGAUCGCUUCUUGGUUUUGAAUGCUGUUCAGGUAUUGGUUUUUUGUUUUGCCUUGCUUGACUUUUGGAGAACUCUUUUGAUUUUGUGGCCAUCGGUAUCAUCAUGGAAGUGGACUCUUUCCCCUGGUCAGCUUUUAUGGUAAACAUCUGAUUUCAAACAGAACCUGGGUUAUUGUAGAUUUUUCAGGCUCACACACAGGGGAACUCCAGACAAGAAACAAUCAUGGACAGCUAAUCACCGCUCAACAUGAUUCCCCUAGGCAGUAAUAAGCCACAGCUAAAAACUAUCAAGCUAUCAAAUGCUAAUCAAGGUAGCCAACUGAAACAGUCACACCUAGCUCCAACAGAUGAGUUCUUUCUCCCACCCCAGAACUUCCAUAGAUAUAUAAAUCCAAUUUUCCAAGUUUCCAACAGACCUCACAACCUCUGAAGAUGUCUGCCAUAGAUGCAGGCGAAACAUCAGGAGAGAAUGCUUCUAGAACAUGGCUAUAUAGCCCAAAAACCUACAACAACCCAGUGAUUCCGGCCAUGAAAGACUUCAAAAAUGCAUCAAACAGAACCCGUUGAGAAGUUCUGCCUAAGAUCUGGUGAAGUCCCCGUUCUUAUUUAUUUAUUUAUUUAUUUAUUUAUUUAUAUUUACAGUAUUUAUAUUCUGCCCUGUUCACCCCUCAGGGGACUCAGGGCGGGUUACAAUGUACACAUACAUGGCAAACAUUCAAUGCCAUAGACAUACAACAUAGAUAGACACUUUCCAGCUUUCGUGAGGGUAUUCUGGUCACUGUCCAUUAGUGACAAUGAUGGAGUACUUCCUCAUUCUUUUUGCAUGCUUGCUGGAGAUUUUUAUGGCAUCAUAAAUUAGUUAAAUUAGCCUCCCUGCAUAAGUGGUACCUAAAUUUCCUACUUGACAGAUGCAACUGUCUUUCAGGCUGCAAAGGUCAACAGCAAGCUACACAAAUUGGUCGGAAGCUCACUCUGACCCCGGCUGGCUUCGAACUCAUGACCUUUUGGUCAGUAGUGAUCUUAAUGCAGCUGACUCCCAGCCAGCUGCGCCACAGUCCCGGUGCUGUGCCACAGUCCCGUUCUUGUCAUUUGAAUCCCUAAGUUGUGGUCCUCUUAUCUGGAGCAGCAGAAAGCAACCUCCCUCUUACAAUCCUUCAGGGGGUUGAAUAUGAUGUCACCUAUUGUGAAGUGGAGCCGCAAUGCCACAAUGGGCUAAAACCUUGUGCUGGCUGGACUGUUGACCUGAAGGUUGAGUUGCUGAGUUGAAAUUUGCUGGUUCCAAUCCUCGAGAGGGCGUGAUCUCCCUCCUGUGAGUUCUAGUGCGGGGAAUUGAGAGAAGCCUCCCAGCAGGAUGGUAACACACCCGGGCGCCCCUGGGCAAUAUGUUCUUAAGUCGCUUCUGACAUGAUUUUGAAAAAGCCUAUUGAGAAAAAAACCCAUAUGUAAUUCCAUCAAUUGUUCCUCUUGGGCUUAGUUUCUAUCUCCUUUUCCUCCUUGGUUGCAAAUUUCCACUUUGUGAGCCGGGUUUCCAGAAUUGAACACAAUGCUUCUGUCGAGGCAAAACCAAAGGAAAAGGUGCUUGCACUAUUAUUUCCCUUGACGUACAAAUUGUAUCACUGGCUAGAAUUUACCAUCUGUUUCCCUGCUCCUGGCACACACACUUUUGAUCCACAUUAAAUUGAAAAACACGAAUCUUGUUAUUUUGGAGUUAACUAUGUUAUACCUUCCAAGGGAAAUAAGGCAGGCCCCAUCCCUCCCCUCCUUUCAUAAGAGCUUGAAGACCUGGUGGUUUCAACAAGCCUUUGAAAAUGACCAGUUCUAACUCAGCCCUACACAUUGUCGAAUACGGCCUUAUUCUUCCUACCAAUUACCCAGAUUCUUUCCUCUAAUCGGCCCCGGAAUGAACAGCCACAGACCCGUACCUAAUAUUAUUGUUGCCUGCCAUAGCAUUGCACUUAAUUCCCGGGCCCCCUAGAAUUUUUGGGCUUGCACAAAUCUUGGCCCGGCCUUUAAAUUUUAAAUUGCCUUGAACAAGGCAGGAUUUCUUUUAAUAUAUGUGUGUUAUGGCGACUAUUUUUAUGCUUAUAUUUUGUUUGUUAAUCUUUACUUUGUAUGUUUUGUGAUGUUACCUGGGAACUGCUCUGAGUCCCCUCGGGGAGAUGGAGCGGUAUAUAAAUAAAGUUUUAUUGUUAUUAUA